CGACCAAGGAGGCUGGCCAGAGAAAAGCAGGCGUCUAAAGUGCAGAGAGGAAGAAGAGAAGAGCUGGCUUCCCUGACCGGGAAUCGAACCCGGGCCGCGGCGGUGAGAGCGCCGAAUCCUAACCACUAGACCACCAGGGAGCAUAGUCUACAACCGACGGUCCCCGCUCUCCCCUGCUGGACACAGACACCCUGCCAGCCUCUCAGCCAGUCUGACAGCCAGACUGCCGGACGGACGGCCCGCUCGCCAGCUCGCCGGCUCGCCCGCUCGUGACCGUUGCCAGCCACCCGCCGCCUGCGUCUGCCCCUGCCCUGCCAGGUGCCAGAUGCCAGAUGCCAGAUGCCAGAUGCCAGAUGCCAGAGGUCCGGUGCCCGGUGCCCUCUGCCGCUUCGCCGGCAAGUCGGGAACCACCUCCGGGACUAGACGCCUGCGCCUGGCUGAUCUCCUCCCCGGCCGCCAGAGCCUCCAAACGUCUAGCGUCUCCUUCUUUGGGGCGGGCGGUAGGUAGCUAGCUAGGUGGGUAGGUAGGUAGGUAGGUAGGUAGGUAGGUAGGUAGGUAGGUAGGUAGGUCGGUCUCCUGGACAAGGUAAGGUGAGAGGUUCCAGGCUGGCCACCCUCGGCCCUGAACCCUGGCAAAACAUGGACAGGCUGCGUUGGCCGGGAAUCGAACCCGGGUCAACUGCUUGGAAGGCAGCUAUGCUCACCACUAUACCACCAACGCUGUGCCCCAAGGACGCCACGCACACCACGCCGGGGACUGCCACCAGCCAGCGGCCGCGCACCAACUAACUCCCUGCAGCGGCUCCACCGCGGCCUCAACCCCACAGCCAACGCCAGGGCCAAGGCCCAGGCCCAGGCCAAGCACAACCGGGGCUGCGCCGCUGCGCGCCCUUCUCACCGGCGCGUCCCGCCCGCGCCUCUCGCACGCACACAGCCCGGCACACAGCCCGGCCGGUGGGGCGCUCUCGCCUCCAAACCGCUGCCAUCCGGCGCACCGGGACGGCCCGGGCACGCUUCGAGAGCCCCAGGGACCAGGGUAGCACCCGGGACGGCUCCGAGCCGCCAGGUCACCAUCCGGACCCGCCUGGCACAGCGCUCAGGCCACGCGAGUGGCGCUCCGCCGGCUCCGACGCCCGCAACUUCCUCGGGAGGACGGCGCGUUCCCAGGCAUCCGUCGGAGCUCUGGGCAG
rnacentral:lncRNA from 1 species